AACUGUGUUAUAUUUUAGCAUCUUCAAAGUAGUCACCCUUUGCCUAGAAUUUGCAGACAUGUACUCUUGACAUUUUCUCAACCAACUUCUUGAGGUAUCACCCUGGGAUGCUUUUUAAACAGUAUUGAAGGAGUUCCCAUCUAUGUUGGGCACUUCUAAGUGCCCAACAAAGUUUCAAAAAAGUUUUUUUUUAAUUAUUACAUUUUAGUUUUAUAAUGAAAUAAAUUAUUUUAUAUAUAAUUAUUAAUUAUAUUUUUGUCUACAAAACUAAUUUCAAACAUUUAAGCAUACGCCUUCAGAUCAAAAGAUUUUUAAGAUCAUGAGAAACAUUUCAGUCAAGUGUUUCAAAACUUUUGACCGGUAGUGUUUAGAUAUAAUAUAGGCCAGCGUACGGAAAGCUAAUGGUUAAUACAGUGAGCGGUGGUCCAAACCUCCCAAGUCUCCAUGGCAACAAGAAUCGAGCUACUUCAGAUGGAGAUGAGUCCUGUUCCGCUGUCAGACGCUGAGACAUUCCGCAUGCAGGACAUGGAAUCUGUCUGUCAGGCACCUGUCAUCAGACAUUUUGAAGGCUUACAGCUCAGAGAAUGACACAUCAUCGAGGAACGUCACUGAGUAGACAAAUGGACUGAAAAGGUUUUCAAGAUUUUGCAGUGAAACAAUAUUAAAUGUCAGCAAACAGACAUUUGAGGCAAGCGAUACGGUUGAAUGAUUAUGAAGAAAACUGCCACCUCUGUCUGUGCGUUCUCCAUAUUGGGGGAACAUUUGUACACCCAUUUCCCUUAUUUUGCUAAUAAAAAGCAUUUUCUUCCUGA